GACGAACGCUGGCGGCGUGCUUAACACAUGCAAGUCGAACGGAAAGGCCCUGCUUUUGUGGGGUGCUCGAGUGGCGAACGGGUGAGUAACACGUGAGUAACCUGCCCUUGACUUUGGGAUAACUUCAGGAAACUGGGGCUAAUACCGGAUAGGAGCUCCUGCUGCAUGGUGGGGGUUGGAAAGUUUCGGCGGUUGGGGAUGGACUCGCGGCUUAUCAGCUUGUUGGUGGGGUAGUGGCUUACCAAGGCUUUGACGGGUAGCCGGCCUGGGAGGGUGACCGGCCACAUGAGGACUGCGAUACGGCCCAGACUCCAACGGGAGGCAGCAGUGGGGAAUAUUGCAGAAUGGGCGGACGCCUGAUGCGGCAACGCCGCGUGCGGGAUGACGGCUUUCGGGUUGUAAACCGCUUUCGCCUGUGACGAAGCGUGAGUGACGGUAAUGGGUAAAGAAGCACCGGCUAACUACGUG
rnacentral:rRNA from 1 species